AAUGGUCAUGUUAGUGACAUGAUAUUUUUAACCAAUCAAAAUAUAUUUCUGAAUUUUAUCCAUCUUAUCAUAAUUUAAGGAAAAAAUAUUUUAAACUUUUAUCACAUAAGAAAAAUUAUGAUUGACUAAUUGUAAAUGAUAUUGUGUGACUGUCAUAUAAUAAACUUUCUCGUAUGUGUGUAUGCGCACGCACACAGGCGCCCGCAUGAUUAGGGUUGGCAAAUGAGCGAGCCGGCUCGCGUUCGUCUCGCAUUCGGCUGGAAAUUCGGCUCGCUCGAGCUUGGCUCGAAAUUAAAUGAGCCAAACUUGAACAAAAAAAAAAGCUCUAAAUUUAUAUCAAGCCGAGCUUGAGUAUUACUCGGCUCGUUCGAAUUAAGCUCGAAAAGCUCGAAUAUAUAUAUAUAUAUAUACACGUGUAUAUAUAUAUAUAUAUAUACAUAUGUAUACAUAUAUAAGUAGGUCUUGUGUGCUAUUAGGAGCACGGAACCCUCUGGGCUCCUAAGCCAUUUUCGGCAAUGGAGCUUCCAAAUCGACGAUUGGCUCAGUUAGACUUGAUCUAGCGUAUUUGAAGUAUCUAGAAAAUAAAUUUUGCGAUUUUUUAAUAUCAUUUACUUAGCGAUUGAAAAGAUUCAAAAUCAACAAUUUUUAAUGGUUGAUUAAUAUCGUUUGCAAGUUUAACGGUGUAGAAGUAUUCAAAUCAGAUAAAAUUUGGAUCGAAAAUUAUUUAUACUAUUUACUGCAAGAUUAAUAUCUCUGAUCGAAAAUUUUAGCGUUAUAUGACCACUUUUUGUGAGAUUUUUAUUUUUAGCUGUUGAUUUUGAACCCUUUAGAUCGCUAGGUAAAUGAUACCGAAAAAUCACUAAAUUUAUUUUCUAGAUACUUCAAAUACGCCAGAUCAAGUCUGAUGGAGCCGAUCGUCGAUUCGAAAACUCUAUCAUAAAAAACGGCUUAGGAGCACGGAUCCGUGCUCCUAAUAGCACACAAGACCUACU
rnacentral:lncRNA from 1 species